rnacentral:lncRNA from 1 species
AUGGCAAAUAAUUCCAUUUCCUAUAACACACAUUUUCAUACCAUCGAAACAAUUGAAUAUAUUUUAAGCUAUAGUUUGACCUUCCUGCACAUUUUGACAGAAAUCGAAAAUUCUAUUUUGUUUUGCGCAUCUGGGACACUACAUCCCUCCGUCAUUUCUGUUGACGACCUUCAUUCUGAAAUAAAAACUAUUAAGCAAUAUUAUAAUGAGUCCAUCCCUGGUAAUUUGACACAACUCUCUUUUUCGGAGUUGACAAAAUUUUUGAAAGUCGCUUGCGCUAAAACUGCCAAUAAAAUUGUGUAUUACAUUGACGUCCCUAUUAAUUACGAAGCCACUUUCACUCUGUUCCACCUUUUGUUAAUCCCCUCCCUUGUUGGGUCACAUGAGUAUGUGUCUGUUUUACCUGAGGUCCGCCAUGUCCUGCUCGGAACAGACGUCGCCCUGGCCGUGACAUCACCAUGCCCGAAAUUAGGAGCUUUCUACCAAUGCUCCACGGCCUCACCAUUGGACCCUUCCUCAUGCAGUGUCUCAGCAUUACACCACAAUACGGAACAGUGCCGGAAAGUUAAAGUCCAGCUGAACUCCAGUCACGUUGAAGUUUUACCAGAAACAAAUCAAUUUUUACUUUGUUUCCCUGUUAUUCAAAAUUUAAUUUUCACUUGCAAUGGGUUUGUGGAACAACGGUCUUUAAAAGGAAUCCUUUUAUUUGGCUCAAAUUACUGCACUAUUACAUUUAAUGAUCGUGUCCUUAAGGCACAGUUGAACACUACAGCAGAGUUGCAAUUAACUGAUUUCACUUUGACAAACGUUAGUCACGUAAACUUAUUAGACUUUAAUGUAACGCUAGCUCAUCUAAAUUUGGAAUAUCCUGCUGAAUUUCUUCAUUCUAAACCGUUACCACCCACUACAAUUUUUUCUGAACCUACAACCCAUCUUUUUACCCUGUAUUUCUCCCGUCAUUUUGCUGCUCUUAUUUAUUGCUUCUAUCACAUUUUAUAUGUGUUACAUGAAACGACUGUUCAACCGCGCUCCGGUUGCUGA